UUGGGGUUCGUCUGAACAGUGGAUUAACGAGCGCUUGUUAUUGGAAUUUGAGUAGAGAAUCUGUGAACGUUCGUCAUUUCCGGAGGGAGAUGAGCGUUUGGAAGAAGCAUUGAAUGAAGAGAGCCUGGUUGAUGUUGAAGUGAAGAUCGAGCAGUGAGAUCGCUCGGCCAGUAUUGUAUUUAGUUGAAUUGAGUGGUCGUUCGACCAUCUCUUGUUUUCUUUUGAGUUAAUUCGACCGUUCAGUAAUUAUCCUGUGUAAACCGUUCGGUCAGGUUUCUUGUACGUUUAUCUUAAAUUUGUAAAACUCUUAUGUGUGGCGUGCGACUUUUGCACAUUCGUCCGUUAUGUUGGAUUUGUACUCAAGGACGUUCGUCCUUGAGCGUUCGUUCGGGUUUUAUUUUGUUUUUAGUUGGAAAACUGUAUUGAAAUAUUAUUAAAUGUGAUUUUCUGAUUUUAUGGUGUUA